rnacentral:ncRNA from 2 species
AUCCAAUAUUGGCUCCGAGCUGCAGCACCUGUCACAAUGUUAUGGUGGUACAGCCCGGGCGGCGGCAUCGUUGCCGCCGCCCGCACGGUUUUGCUGGAAACGGCAGGGCCUUCCGUUUUGAAAAGGAGCAAUACAUAGGCGGCGC